UACGUAGGUGGCAAGCGUUGUUCGGAUUUACUGGGCGUAAAGGGCGCGUAGGCGGCCAGCACAAGUCAGUUGUGAAAUCUCCGAGCUUAACUCGGAAAGGUCAACUGAUACUGUGCGGCUAGAGUGCAGAAGGGGCAACUGGAAUUCUUGGUGUAGCGGUGAAAUGCGUAGAUAUCAAGAGGAACACCUGCGGCGAAGGCGGGUUGCUGGGCUGACACUGACGCUGAGGCGCGAAAGCUAGGGGAGCGAACGGG
rnacentral:rRNA from 1 species